rnacentral:lncRNA from 1 species
GUCAGUGCUGAACUGAACACCAGGAUGUGCCAGCUCUGGGGGUUUGGGUGAAACAUCCCAGCAGCUCUUUUUUGGGGGCUGCAGCCCCAGAAUAGCUGAUGUGCUCAUGACCCCUUUUGUCCCCCAUUCCUGUUAAUUCCCAGGACUCCCUCCUUUCCCUGAGCAGUCCCUGGUAUUGCUGGAGGGGCAAAACCAGCAGCUCCAGCUGCUGACACUGGGCUGUAGCUCCACUUAGCUCUGUGAAAGCCGAAAAAGGCAUCAAACGUGCCUGGGUUUAAGCAGAAGUCUAUAAAUUAUUAAUUGCAAGAGGAAACCCCAGCUCGUGCUCAGGGGACGCCCCAGGACAAGAUGAGGUGGGGGACCUGAUCCCAAGCUCAGCUGGAAAUGGAUUUUGGGAAUAUGCAGGUGAAUUAAAUGAGGUGGGCCAGCAGCAUCCUGCUGAUAUUCAUACAGAGCAUUUAGGAUGUUAAAAAAUUGUCUGAGCGCUGAUUACGUCCUCAAACUUUCUGGAUUUCCUUUGGUUUUACGGUUUUUAGGUUUCUUUUUUAUAAUAAAGUUUAAAUUAGAUCAAAAACCACCAGGCCUGUGAAGAUGGUCCCGGGUGGUUUGUGCGCAGCAGAGCUGAGGACUUUGGAGUUGUCAUGCACAGACAUCAGCGACUGCAGAAGGUGGAGCUGAGGCUGUGCCCUCCUGGAUCCAGCCAAGAUGAAGCAGCACAAGGCAGCUCCAAGAUAAUGAUUUAUUUUUGGCCCAAACUCGGAAUACCUCUCAGGACACCUCAGCAAGGAGGGAGCAAAAGAACCAAUGCAUUAACUCUGAGAAGGGGCAGCAGAAGGAAAGCCUGGAGCUGGAACAUCCUUUGA